UCAGGCCUGUGAUUGGAUGAAGCCUUGUUC
rnacentral:piRNA from 1 species